AGUGAACGCUGGCGGCAGGCCUAACACAUGCAAGUCGAACGGCAGCACAGGGGAGCUUGCUCCCUGGGUGGCGAGUGGCGGACGGGUGAGGAAUACAUCGGAAUCUGCCCUGUCGUGGGGGAUAACGUAGGGAAACUUACGCUAAUACCGCAUACGACCUUCGGGUGAAAGAGGGGGAUCGCAAGACCUCUCGCGAUUGGAUGAGCCGAUGUCGGAUUAGCUAGUUGGCGGGGUAAAGGCCCACCAAGGCGACGAUCCGUAGCUGGUCUGAGAGGAUGAUCAGCCACACUGGAACUGAGACACGGUCCAGACUCCUACGGGAGGCAGCAGUGGGGAAUAUUGGACAAUGGGCGCAAGCCUGAUCCAGCCAUGCCGCGUGAGUGAAGAAGGCCUUCGGGUUGUAAAGCUCUUUUGUCCGGAAAGAAAAGCAUUCGGUUAAUAACCGGGUG
rnacentral:rRNA from 1 species